GCCUGAAAAAGGAUUACUAUGAUAGGGUAAAUAAUGUAUAAAAAUACCU
rnacentral:tRNA from 1 species